rnacentral:hammerhead_ribozyme from 1 species
GCACUGCUGAUGAGUCCUAAACAGGACGAAACAGCUGUCCAGUGC